rnacentral:lncRNA from 10 species
CUCCUACCAUGUAAGACGUCCCUUUGCUCUUCCUUCAUCUUCCAUCAUGAUUGUGCAGCCUCCCCAACCAUGUGGAACUAUCAAGGGCACUCUGCUGAAUGAUUGAGAUCCUGCCUCCAAGGAUUGGUCUUCUAAGGAUGAAAAUACAGUAACACAAGAAACAUUGUUAUAACAUUGACUAAUGCAGGAAAGUUGUAUGGCUUGAAGAUGACCAUCUGAAUACUGACCAGCCUCUUCACAUAUAUUUUGCUCUACAACUCCUUGGUAAAUCCUGUCACAGACUCCUUCGUAAAAUUGUUUUAGAACUAGGACACUUGAAAUCUGUUGGAUAUGUCAGCUUCACUUUUGCACUGAAAUUAUUCCAACAUGCAGGACUGGCCUUCCCAGUAGUCAGUACAGUAUCUCUAGAAUGUCUGGUCUGAAAGGUGACAACUUUGAAGGCUAUUUCUGCUGCAUGCCACAGCCCUCCUACUGCUAGCUACCCUGGAAGGCAAAGGGUUGAUGUCAAUGGAAGAACCAAGAACAGAUGAUAAUGGAGGAAAAGCAUGAGAGAAUUCCAUGCCUCAUCAACAUCUUUAGCAAAAUUGUUUCUACUCUCUGCAAAAAUUAAUACUACAUGGUGAAAUGAUGUGGCUGGCGAUGUUCUCAUCUCAUGAUUAGGACAUAAAUAACUUUUAAUUGUUUUUAGAAGGUUUGCAUCAUGUAUGAAUCUCAGGCAGCAAAGUUUUUCAUAUGGUAAUGUACUUUUUUAGAUAUUUGCCAUGUCCUAUUAUUUUCAAGUAUUUAUGAUAGGCAGUUUAAGAAGGAGACUUUGUAGAAAUGUUGAAUGAAAUCCUUUACUUAAAAUGUAGGGUUAAUUUAAUGUUGAAACCAGAGUUGAAGUAGUUGGUGGAGUGUAGACAUGACGUUGAGGGGCAAUUUUCUUGUAGCUGGUUUGGGUGGACAAUCAACUUGCUCUGCCCUCUACAGUUUGGAGCACUAUUCCUAAGUCCUGGGGAAUGAAGGGCAUAUGCCUCUUGUGUAAAUCCCCAAUUCUUCUUCACCCAUUGUUUUAAGUGGAGAUUUCUGGCAAUCACUUCAAGCUUUGGUAACUCUUUCCUGUGGAGAAUUAUCUACUUAUUACCAUAUAUGUGUAGGUUUUUGUGAGCUAUCUUUAUGAAUAUUAAUUUAAAUAAAGAAAUAAAGCUAGGAUUUUUUUAACUUUACUAUAUUUUUGUACUUUAUAUUCGAUUGCCUUUUAUUUCUUUUAUGCAUAUAUUUAUGGGGAAAAGUUUCUUUCCCUACUCUUGUCUUUUCAUAUGUAAUGAGUUCCAUUAAUGUAACACUUUAAGCUCUCCUUUUUAUUCUACUCCAGACAUGCAUUUAAAUGGG